CAUUUUGGUCCUUGACGCACUAUUGUUUAUAACCCAAAUUACACAUGCAAGCCUCUACGUCCCAGUGAGAAGCCCAUAAGACUGAAGACAGGAGCCAAGGAGAUGGCAUCAGGCACGCCCUACUGCAGCCAAUAACGCCACGCAAACUGCCACACCCACAAGGGCCCCAGCAGUGAAUAACAUUAAGAGUAUAAGCGAAAGCUUGACUUAGUUAAGGUUAAGAUUGGCCGGUAAAUCUCGUGCCAGCCGCCGCGGUUAUACGAGAGGCCAAAACAAGAGCAUUCGGCGUAAGGGGUGACCCAGGCGAGCCCACCACAUUAAGGGGGAACUACUUCCAAGCUGUGAAACCCAUAAGAGGCAAGAACCCCGCUAACCCUUAAUAAAAAGGCGACCUAAAUUCACGAAAGUUGGGAAACAAACUGGGAUUAGAUACCCCACUAUGCCCAACCAUAAACCUAGACAGCUAAAAUAACUCAAGCUGUUCGCCAGAGGACUACAAGCAAAAGCUAGAAACCCAAAGGACUUGGCGGUGUCCCACAACAAACUAGAGGAGCCUGUCCCAUAAUCGAUAUUCCACGGUACACCUCACCACCCCUUGAUAGUUCAGCCUAUAUACCGCCGUCGCCAGCCUACCGCAUGAGAGCACAGUAGUGGGCACAAUUGCACGCACAAGUACGCCAGGUCAAGGUGUAGCCAAUGUGGUGGAGGAGAUGGGCUACAUUUCCAGUACGGAUAACACGGAAGGCCAGCUGAAAACCCAGCCAGAAGGUGGAUUUAGCAGUAAAAUAGACAAGACACACUACUUGAAGAAAGCCCUGGGACACGCACACACCGCCCGUCACCCUCCUCAAUGCACCAACUACUACAACUUAU
rnacentral:ncRNA from 1 species